rnacentral:rRNA from 1 species
UGUAAAAUUUUAAAGGUCGAACAGACCUAAUAUUAUAGCUUCUACACCAAAAAUUAAUUUUAAUCCAACAUCGAGGUCGCAAUCUUUUCUUUUAAUAUGAACUUUAUAAAAAAAUUACGCUGUUAUCCCUAAGGUAAUUUUAUCUUAUAAUCAAAAAUAUUGGRUCAUUUAUUCAUAAAUUUAUGUUUAAAAAUAAAAAAAAAGUUUAUUAAAUUUUUCAAUCACCCCAAUUAAAUUAUUAAAUAAAAUAUAUAAAUAAAUACUAAAAUAUAAUUUUUAUUUAAUAAUUAAACUCUAUAGGGUCUUCUCGUCUUUUAAAUUCAAUUAAGCUUUUUAACUUAAAA